rnacentral:rRNA from 1 species
UAACGCGGGGGCAACCCUGGCGACGAGCGGCGAACGGGGAGUAAUGCUUCGGAAUCUUCCUCGUAGUGGGGAAUAACAGGGGAAACCCAUGCUAAUACCGCAUACGAACUACGGUUGAAAGCAGGGGAUCGCAAGACCUUGCGCUAUGAGAUGAGCCGAAGUCGGAUUAGCUAGUUGGUGGGGUAACGGCCUACCAAGGCGACGAUCCGUAGCUGGUCUGAGAGGACGACCAGCCACACUGGAACUGAGACACGGUCCAGACUCCUACGGGAGGCAGCAGUGGGGAAUAUUGGACAAUGGGGGCAACCCUGAUCCAGCGACGCCGCGUGUGUGAAGAAGGCCUGCGGGUUGUAAAGCACUUUUAGUGGGGAUGAAAAGCCAGGGGCUAAUACCUUCUGGUCUUGACCUAACCCAAAGAAAAAGCACCGGCUAACUCUGUGCCAGCAGCCGCGGUAAUACAGAGGGUGCAAGCGUUAAUCGGAAUUACUGGGCGUAAAGCGUGCGUAGUCGGCUUUUUAAGUCGGGUGUGAAAUCCCCGGGCUCAACCUGGGAAUUGCAUUCGAUACUGGAUCGCUAGAGUUCGGCAGAGGGAAGCGGAAUUUCGGGUGUAGCGGUGAAAUGCGUAGAUAUCCGAAGGAACAUCAGUGGCGAAAGCGGCUUCCUGGACCAGAACUGACGAUCAGGCACGAAAGCGUGGGGAGCAAACAGGAUUAGAUACCCUGGUAGUCCACGCCAUAAACGAUGACAACUAGACGUUGGGAGGGUUUGCCUUCCAGUGUCGCAGCUAACGCGUUAAGUUG